GACGAACGCUGGCGGCGUGCCUAAUACAUGCAAGUAGAACGCUGAAGGCGGAGCUUGCUCUUCUGGAUGAGUUGCGAACGGGUGAGUAACGCGUAGGUAACCUGCCUGGUAGCGGGGGAUAACUAUUGGAAACGAUAGCUAAUACCGCAUAAGAGUAGAUGUUGCAUGACAUUUGCUUAAAAGGUGCAAUUGCAUCACUACCAGAUGGACCUGCGUUGUAUUAGCUAGUUGGUGGGGUAACGGCUCACCAAGGCGACGAUACAUAGCCGACCUGAGAGGGUGAUCGGCCACACUGGGACUGAGACACGGCCCAGACUCCUACGGGAGGCAGCAGUAGGGAAUCUUCGGCAAUGGAAGGAAGUCUGACCGAGCAACGCCGCGGGAGUGAAGAAGGGUGUCGGAUCGUAAAGCUCGGUUGUAAGAGAAGAACGAGUGUGAGAGUGGAAAGUUCACACUGUGACGGUAUCUGACCAGAAAGGGACGGCUAACUACGUG
rnacentral:rRNA from 1 species